GACGAACGCUGGCGGCGUGCUUCACACAUGCAAGUCGAACGAAGUGGCGAACGGGUGAGUAACGCGUAAUCAACCUGCCCUUCAGAGGGGGACAACAGUUGGAAACGACUGCUACUACCGCAUACUGCAGGAGGGGAUUGCGUCUGAUUAGCUGGUUGGAGGGGUAACGGCCCACCAAGGCGAUGAUCAGUAGCCGGUCUGAGAGGAUGAACGGCAAAAUGGGGACUGAGACAAGGCCAAGACUCCUACGGGAGGCAGCAGGGGGGAAUCUCCCGCAAUGGACGAAAGUCUGACGGAGCAACGCCGCGUGAGUGAGGACGGCCUGCGGGUUGUAAAGCUCUGGUAAUCGGGACGAGGUACCGGAAUAGAAAGCCACGGCUAACUACGUGCCAGCAGCCGCGGUAAUUC
rnacentral:rRNA from 1 species